rnacentral:rRNA from 1 species
UCCAGGCAAAUCCGGAUAAUCAAGGCUGAGGUGUGAUGACGAGGCACUACGGUGCUGAAGUAACAAAUGCCCUGCUUCCAGGAAAAGCCUCUAAGCAUCAGGUAACAUCAAAUCGUACCCCAAACCGACACAGGUGGUCAGGUAGAGAAUACCAAGGCGCUUGAGAGAACUCGGGUGAAGGAACUAGGCAAAAUGGUGCCGUAACUUCGGGAGAAGGCACGCUGGUGUGUAGGUGAAGUCCCUGCGGAUGGAGCUGAGACCAGUCGAAGAUACCAGCUGGCUGCAACUGUUUAUUAAAAACACAGCACUGUGCAAACACGAAAGUGGACGUAUACGGUGUGACGCCUGCCCGGUGCCGGAAGGUUAAUUGAUGGGGUUAUCCGUAAGGAGAAGCUCUUGAUCGAAGCCCCGGUAAACGGCGGCCGUAACUAUAACGGUCCUAAGGUAGCGAAAUUCCUUGUCGGGUAAGUUCCGACCUGCACGAAUGGCGUAAUGAUGGCCAGGCUGUCUCCACCCGAGACUCAGUGAAAUUGAACUCGCUGUGAAGAUGCAGUGUACCCGCGGCAAGACGGAAAGACCCCGUGAACCUUUACUAUAGCUUGACACUGAACAUUGAGCCUUGAUGUGUAGGAUAGGUGGGAGGCUUUGAAGCGUGGACGCCAGUCUGCGUGGAGCCAACCUUGAAAUACCACCCUUUAAUGUUUGAUGUUCUAACGUUGGCCCCUUACCGGGGUUGCGGACAGUGUCUGGUGGGUAGUUUGACUGGGGCGGUCUCCUCCCAAAGCGUAACGGAGGAGCACGAAGGUUAGCUAAUCCUGGUCGGACAUCAGGAGGUUAGUGCAAUGGCAUAAGCUAGCUUGACUGCGAGCGUGACGGCGCGAGCAGGUGCGAAAGCAGGUCAUAGUGAUCCGGUGGUUCUGAAUGGAAGGGCCAUCGCUCAACGGAUAAAAGGUACUCCGGGGAUAACAGGCUGAUACCGCCCAAGAGUUCAUAUCGACGGCGGUGUUUGGCACCUCGAUGUCGGCUCAUCACAUCCUGGGGCUGAAGUAGGUCCCAAGGGUAUGGCUGUUCGCCAUUUAAAGUGGUACGCGAGCUGGGUUUAGAACGUCGUGAGACAGUUCGGUCCCUAUCUGCCGUGGGCGCUGGAGAAUUGAGGGGGGCUGCUCCUAGUACGAGAGGACCGGAGUGGACGCAUCACUGGUGUUCGGGUUGUCAUGCCAAUGGCACUGCCCGGUAGCUAAAUGCGGAAGAGAUAAGUGCUGAAAGCAUCUAAGCACGAAACUUGCCCCGAGAUGAGUUCUCCCUGAGACUUUAAGUCUCCUGAAGGAACGUUGAAGACGACGACGUUGAUAGGCCGGGUGUGUAAGCGCAGCGAUGCGUUGAGCUAACCGGUACUAAUGAACCGUGAGGCUUAACCUU